UACGUAGGGUGCAAGCGUUGUCCGGAAUUAUUGGGCGUAAAGAGCUCGUAGGCGGUCUGUCGCGUCUGCUGUGAAAAUCCAGGGCUCAACCCUGGACCUGCAGUGGGUACGGGCAGACUAGAGUGCGGUAGGGGAGAUCGGAAUUCCUGGUGUAGCGGUGGAAUGCGCAGAUAUCAGGAGGAACACCGGUGGCGAAGGCGGGUCUCUGGGCCGUAACUGACGCUGAGGAGCGAAAGCAUGGGGAGCGAACAGG
rnacentral:rRNA from 1 species